rnacentral:rRNA from 1 species
GUACAACUCUGAGCGGUGGAUCACUCGGCUCGUGUGUCGAUGAAGCGCGCAGCCAACUGUGUGAAUUAAUGUGAACUGCAUACUGCUUUGAACAUCGACAUCUUGAACGCACAUUGCGGCCACGGGUUUUCCUGUGGCCACGCCUGUCCGAGGGUCGGCU